rnacentral:lncRNA from 1 species
CCAGGGAAGUCACUAAGAAAAUAAUUUUUAAAAUACAGUAAAAUAAACAGCUUAAAAUGGCACACUAGAAACUAUCUACUUAACUUAAAAGUAAAUAGCAAUGAAGGAACAGGAUAACAAAAAAGACAGAAAUGUACAAAAGCAACCCAGCAAAAUGAAAGACAUAAAUCCUACCUUAUGAGUAAUUAAAAUUAAUUUAAAUGGGUUAAACACUUUAUUUUAAAAGGUAGAGUCCUGAUUUAAAAUCAUAUUACAAACUUAUAAUAAACAAAACAGCAUGGCACUGGCAUAAAAACAGAAACAUAGACCAAGGGAGCAGAACUCAGUGACCAGAAAUAAAUUCAAACAUAUAUGAUCAACCAAUUUAUGACAAGGGCUCUGUGAUGGUUAAUACUGAGUGUCAAAUUGAUUGUAUUGAAGGACACAAAGUAUUGAUCCUGAGUAUGCCUGUGAGGGUGUUGCCAAAAGAGAUUAACAUUUGAGUCAGUGGGCUGGGAAAGGCAGACCCACCCUUAAUGCGGGUGGGCACAAUCUAAUCAGCUGCCAGCGCAGCUAGAAUAUAAGCAGGCAUAAAAAUGUGAAAACAGAGACUGGCCUAUCCUCUCAGCCUACAUCAUUUUCCUGUGCUGGAUGCUUCCUGAUCUUGAACAUUGGAUUCCA